CGCACAUUGCGCCCAUUAGUAUUCUAGUGGGCAUGCCUGUUCGAGCGUCAUUAAGUCCAUUAAGCCUCGUUGCUUAGCGUUGGGAGCCUGCGCGGCGUGAGCCCGCAGCUCCUCAAAACCAGUGGCGGAGUCGGCGCGUACUCUAAGCGUAGUAAUUUCAGCUCGCUUCAGCGGUCGUGCGGGCGCCCUGCCGUAAAACACACCAAAUACCACAGGUUUGACCUCGGAUCAGGUAGGAAUACCCGCUGAACUUAA
rnacentral:misc_RNA from 1 species